rnacentral:tRNA from 1 species
GCGGACGUGGCGGAAUUGGCAGACGCGCCGGUCUUAGGAGCCGGUGGGCAACCAUGCGGGUUCAAGCCCCGCCGUCCGCACCA